rnacentral:rRNA from 1 species
UACGGGGGGAGCAAGCGUUGUUCGGAUUUACUGGGCGUAAAGGGUGCGUAGGCGGCGCGGUAAGUCGGGUGUGAAAUCUCGGAGCUUAACUCCGAAACUGCAUUCGAUACUGCCGUGCUUGAGGACUGGAGAGGAGACUGGAAUUUACGGUGUAGCGGUGAAAUGCGUAGAUAUCGUAAGGAAGACCAGUGGCGAAGGCGGGUCUCUGGACCAUUACUGACGCUGAGGAGCGAAAGCGUGGGGAGCGAACAGG